rnacentral:rRNA from 1 species
AGCGGCGGACGGGUGUGUAACGCGUGGGUAACCUGCCUCAUACAGGGGGAUAACAGUCAGAAAUGACUGCUAAUACCGCAUAAGACCACGGUACCGCAUGGUACAGUGGUAAAAACUCCGGUGGUAUGAGAUGGACCCGCGUCUGAUUAGGUAGUUGGUGGGGUAACGGCCUACCAAGCCGACGAUCAGUAGCCGACCUGAGAGGGUGACCGGCCACAUUGGGACUGAGACACGGCCCAG